AACUGGUACAAUCAUAGGCACACGUAAAACUGAUUAAGUGGUCAAGACAUUUACGCCCUUCCAGAAUAUGAGACCGUCAAAGAAGAUGCACCCCAAAUGCAGAUUUAGAGGGAUUUCAGACGUGUGUCAAGCCAGUAAUGAGAAUCAAGAGCCUUUGUGUAGACGUCUCACUGCUGCUGGCGGCGGGACUGAAAAGACAGCAGAGCUUCUCGGGCGUGGUCACCCCACGAGCUGUGAUCAAAGCACUGCACGGAGAACCAGCCAAGCACCAGCAGCUCGCCUCCCUGCUUCCCCACAGCCCUCCUUCACAGGACACCUGCGCAGCUCUGGCAGGAAGUCCCCGAGAGGCCAGGCUGUCCAAGCCCCAGGGGGAGCGAGGUACAGCCUCAGGUAGCCUCCCCAAGGACAAGGUGUCAGCGCAGCUGGUAUUCUUCGUGGGAGAUGGGCAGAGGCCUCCCUACCUUGUCAGACCUGAUGUGGAUCAGAGAGCAAAGGUGUGUUCUGCAACUGGCAGAACUUCUGACAUUCUGAAUGCGAACUGGCCAGGGAACGGGAGGGGGAAACAGAGGGAAAGGCUGAGCUAUUACAUUCUUUUUUUUUUUUUUUUUUUGUCUUUUUUGCUAUUUUUGGGGGUCGCUCCCGCGGCAUAUGGAGGUUCCCAGGCUAGGGGUCCAAUCGGAGCUGUAGCCACCAGCCUACGCCAGAGCCACAGCAACGUGGGAUCCAAGCCGCGUCUACAACCUACACCACAGCUCAAGGCAACGCCGGAUCGUUAACCCACCGAGCAAGGGCAGGGACCAAACCCGCAACCUCAUGGUUCCUAGUCGGAUUCGUCAACCACUGCGCCACGACGGCAACUCCUGAGCUAUUACAUUCUUAAUGAAGUCUUGAUUGGAUUCGGAUGGAAACUUAGCGAACACUCUUUCCCCUAGAACUGUAUAGUCAGCCCUCUGUACCUACAGGUUCCACAUCCUCAGAUACAACCAACCACAGAUUCAAAAUAUUCACACACCAAAAAAAAUUCCAGAAAGUUCCAGUAAGCAAAAGUUGAAUUUGCAGCACACCAGCAACUAUUUAUAUAGCAUUUACAACUGCUGACAUUAUAUUGGGUAUUAUAAGUAAUCUACAGAUGAUUUAAUGUAUACAGAAGGAUGUGUGUAAGUUAUAUGCAAAUACUGCACCAUUUUAUGUCGGGGACUCAGGCAUCUGCAGAUUAUGGCCUUCUCAGGGUCCUGGAACCAAUCCUCCACAGACACUGAGAGGCAACUGUAUACCCUAUCAAAGGGAAAGGAACUGUAUACCCUAUCAAAGGGAAAGGAACUGUAUACCCUAUCAAAGGGAAGGGAAGAUGGCAAGCUUAAAUGAAAGUCAGAAAUGGGUUUGACGGUGAAAUUUCAGUGCCGUGAGCAGUGAGGGGAGUUUUCAGCAGGCAGCAGGCAGCAUUUCAGGUGACAGAGGCCAUCUCCUUUACCUGCAUGCAGAGCUGCCCCCAUGGGAAAAGUCUCCCCCUUAUGACCACGUCCUAUGCAGCCACUAGCACAAUAGCAUUCUCACAGCCCUUCAGAAAUCAGGCAGAGGGCAUUGUUGGGGCACAGAGGCAGUAGCUACAGGAGAACCUGCAGAUGGAACACCCCGCAAAGCUGGUCUAACCCUACUCCCAAUCCCAAGAUGAGAAAGAGCAUCACUUCUUCAACAUAAGAGACUACUACAGCCUUCUUGAGCUAUUUUCUUCCUGCAACCAUGGCCAAGUUUAACACUGCCAAGGACAUUAGCACCUACUCAGGGGCCCUUCUGAUACUAGCAUUGAAAGAUGGAGAGGGUGCAGAAUUUGGAAGAAAGCAGCAGAGCAGCAAUGCCUAUGGGAUGGGUUAGCAUCUUCAGACAUGGAUUUGGGACAUUUCUGGCUCAGCUCAUCCUAGGCCUUCUAUAUAUACAUUUUUAAUUCUAUUGACUUACAAUGUU
rnacentral:lncRNA from 1 species